rnacentral:rRNA from 1 species
GACGGACGCUUGCGGCGUGCCUAAGAAAUGCAAGUCGAGCGAGGUUUAGGCUUCGGCCGACGACCUAGCGGCGAACGGUCGCGUAACACGUAAGCAACCUGCCCUAAAGUUGGGGAUAGCCCGCCGAAAGGCGGAUUAAUACCGAAUGUGGAUAUGAUUUCGCAUGUGAUUAUAUCUGAAGCAGCGAUGCGCUUUAGGAUGGGCUUGCGGCCUAUCAGUUAGUUGGUGUGGGUAACGGCCUACCAAGACGACGACGGGUAGCUGGUCUGAGAGGAUGGUCAGCCGGAUUGGGACUGAGACACGGCCCAGACUCCUACGGGGGGCAGCAAUUAGGAAUCUUGCGCAAUGGGCGAAAGCCUGACGCAGCGACGCCGCGUGACUGAUGAAGUCUUUCGAGAUGUAAAGGUCUUUUGUUGGGGACGAAGGAAGUGACGGUACCCGACGAAUAAGCCCCGGCUAACUACGUG